UAAGUUCUUUGUUGUUGUUGUUAUUAUUGACAAAAGUCUUCUUGGCAUUUGCAGAAAGAAGUAGUGAUAGGUGCUGGUAGAGAUGUGCCCAACAAGCACCCCUUGUGUGCAGACUUGAAUGUAAAACCACAUGACUUCCAGGUCUCAGAGUAGGUGUGGCUUCAAAAUGGAGAAAUUACAGCAGCGAGCUGGAAGAAUGAAUUUUUCCCCCUUUGUAAUAAUAAUGUCAGAGCUGUUAUUACAUUUGGCUUGGAGAGCAGGUUGGAAGUGUUUCUCAGAAGGGAAGUGCUUCCAGCUCCAUGUCUCUUUCAAGAGCUCCAUUCCCAUGUACUUGCUGGAAACCUUUCAGGAAACCACAUUCCCUUUCCCGUCCCUGUUCAGCAAUGUGAUCCUUCCCAGCCAGAGUGGCUCGCAGACCGCCUUGUCGUCCGGGCCUGGGAAAGGAAUGUGACAACGAGGGGGCAAAAGUGCUGGUGCUUCCAAUCCCUUCCUAUGCUGCCUUUCAGAAGAAACCUCGUCCCCACCUCCUUAUGAAAGGGUUUUCUACAUCCAUAAGCAUGUUUAGAAAGAUCUGCAGUCUCUAAUUUUCCAGCAUGUGGUGGGUGAAGCAUGUGAUUUUAGCUGGAAACAGUCACAUGGCCAGAUCCUCAGCCUUGUGCGAGUCUGCCUGUUGCUCCAAGGGUCACACUGUGCUGUUGUCAUUUGUGCUGGUGGCAAAGCAGGUCCAGUAGAUUGCUCCCUAAGUUGCCUGUUAUGGCCCUAAAUGAUGGCUGGUGUCUGACAGUACUGCAUGGGAUAGAAACACUACUGCUAUGCAGAAGAAAUGCCCUGAAACCUUGUGCUAGUGCAAUUUUCCAGGCAAUCAACAAUUCAAAAAGACAGUAGGUGAAGAAAUGCUGUUUAUAUUACAAGUUUCAAUAAAUAAGAUAAAGGGGGCAGGAAGAAGAGAGGGGAUCAAGGAACUGUUAAUGACUUAGAGGACAGAAUCAUAUUAGAGACAGAAAUGUAAACUGGUUUUGCUAUUGCUAAAAGCCCAGGAGAUACACAUUUCAUUUUGCAGAGAAAUAUUCUGAUCAGUGUUUUCUUCUGUCAUAGCAGCGGACAAUUGAGCUUGGAUCCCCGCCAGCCUUUUUUAUCCUCUCUUUAAACUAAACAAUUAAUUAAAAGGGAACACAAGACAGGACAAUUUAGCCAGCUCUGUUAGUUUAGACAGAAUGGGUUAUUGGGCAAUGCCAUUGCGGCACAGAACAAUCGCUCCUAGCUUCUGUGCCACAGGAACAGUUAAGCCUUUCAAGAUGAUUUUCUAGCCACUACUGUUAGGGUGAUUGUGCUGUUUUCUUAUUCUUUAUUUUUAUGCUGUUUCAUUUGCUCAUCAUUGUUACUGCUUGUAUUAUGUGGUGCGUGGGUGGUAAGGAUUAGAUAGUGAUUCUCAACACAACAGUUUCUCUUGAGACAGACAUUUACCCACCCUGAGACAAUUGCUCUCCAGAACUGAGGCAAAAGAAUAUAGGAGACAAGUUGCACUGAAGUCAAAGAAAAGCCUCUUGCAGGCCCCAGUGGACAGGAAAACUGGAAGAUGGAGAGCUAUUCUUUUACAUGUUUUGAAAAGCUAAGAAUGUGAGUCUCAGAAAAAUCAGAAUAGCAGACACCAGCAACAGAAAGGAUUUUAGCAGCAGAAUGGAGGGCUACUACUUCACCUGGAUUUUAGAAACAUAAAUAUUAUCCCACUCUGUGUGAAUUCAUAAAGCCACUAAAUAGAGGCCCCCUUUAGGUACUGGAAAGCCGCUCUAAGGUCUCCCUGGAGCCUUCUCUUCUCCAGGCUGAUCAACCCCAACUCCCUCAGCCUGUCUUCAUAGGAGAGGUGCUCCAGUCCUCUGAUCAUCUUUGUGGCCCUCCUCUGGACUUGUUCUAAGAAGUUCGUGACCUUCUUCUGCUGGGGACCCCAGAACUGAAGGCUACACUCCAGGAGUCCCAGGUCCUUUCUGUGAAGCUGCUUUCUAACCAGUUGGCAUCCAGACUGUUCCAGAUGCAGGACUCAGUAUUUGCCUUUGUUAAGCAUCAUGACUUCAGGUCCAUGAGAGGCGAAGUUUCUAGCAUUCUUGUGGGAGAUCCUGUACUUCAUACUGUUUUGUCAUUCUUUCAGAGAUCUGGAGUUUGUCCACUAUUUCCUGCCGAGAAAACCUUGAUUGACGAGCCCUCAGAUGCCGAUUUACUGUACAUGGCAGCCACGCUGGAGCCGAGGCACAUCUGGAGUGGAGUAAGCUUACUCAGAAACAGGGGCCAGCUCCAGCCGGAGCCAGCGGAGCUGAGCGCGGCGCUGAAAGGCAGCCCUCCUGCCUCCCCUUCCCUCCUCCCCGGGUCUCAACACAGUGGGAUUUUUAAGGCUACACAACUUUGGACCUACGUGCAUGUUCAAGUAACAGCAAAACCUGUGGAACUUGUGUUCACAAACUGUUUAUUCUAGUGGGUUUUGUACUCUGUGACCAUCAUCCAGAAACAAAGAGAGAAGAGCAUUCUGAAAAUUGGAGAUUUGAGGGUUUAAAAAGUGUACCAGUCGGUGUUAGUCUGCAAAAAUACGCGUGGGAGAAAAGGACAGUGAAACUAAGCCACCUAUUAAUACUGUACUUUAAAGGGCAAUAGAUACCUUUAUCAUUAAAAUAAACUGAGAAAUCUGCCUAAAAGUAAA